GUUGCUGAGCUGAUUAUGCCGGUGUCUUGUGUGCUCCAUGUUCUUCUGUAUUCUCCUAUGGUAAGAUAGAGAUGACAAACUAUUGCCGCAUUUUAUUUUUUCUGGUUUGCUUGUUAUGUGCAUUUCGGGUUCUUCAUUGUAGCUAUUUUCUGUUUCCGCUUUCGUCUGAGACAGAAUAAACAUCUUCGGAUUCACUGAGCGGUUUUGAUCGGCGGUCCUUCGAACUCUGUACGUCUCCAUUGUCUCUUUGCUAGGUGGUCAUGCAAAUCAACUGCAUUCCUGGAAAUGGUCAUGUAUCUAGCAAGAGCCCAACUGCUUGAAGGGUCAUGUGCUAUUCGUUACUGUGAGUACAUAUUUCCCAAUGGGUGACGUCUAUUCCGAGAGUAGAAGAGACGCUUCUGCUUCAUGACAGUGGCCUUAUCUUUGUUAGUUCAUGCCGAAAGACGAGAAAAGAACGAAAAUCGGUGAUGGAAAGGGAAAGAAAAGGUCUUGAUAUUACGGCAUUGCAAGGAUCUGGUCCUCUCAUGCCGGUUUAACUAGCGCUAACCAGAUGGACAACAGAUGCCGAAGGGAUUCUCAUGCUGAUUUUAUGCCCGGUUGCAAAGCGGGUAGGCUUGGCCUGAGUUCCGUUUCGCAUCCUCAGGAUGCAACAGGUUGGUACUUAGGCCUCUGAAGACAAUUGCAGAAUAAGGUUCUGCCUCUCUGCAUUGCCCUCCAGUUUGUUUGCGUGUAUUGCUCAAUAUAUUCGUUAAUCCUCGAAGAAAUUUAUGAAGCUCGGCUCAAGUCGAUGGUUAGGUCGAUCAACGGGUAUAUCUAUGCAAUACCAAUAGAAGUCUACAUUAUACUGCAUUACAGAACUAGUCUGUUUGCAAGAGUAUAUGUUGUAUGCCGCUACUCCAUCAACUCUUAUCUUCUUUACUGGUGUAAGAACGGUAGAAAAUACAUCAUCCUGCGUCAUGACAUUUACUGCGAGGUGUAGAAUUCGAUCCGUAAAGAAUGAGGAAGAAUAUUGGUUUUGAAUUUGUGCAAGUUCUGCAGCAACAAUGAACAUAGUUACAAGGAAAAGCCCUUUCAGGGGUUUUGACGCUUACUCUGUCCACUUUGUGUUUCCUACAGGUUUAGACAUAAAUCCCGGAACAGAUAACUUAUUUUCCGCCGACCAAUCGCUAGCUUGUCAACCUCAAAGUUCUUGCAGGAUGAGGAAGUUGAAGGAACAGGGCUACGAGGACAUGCAUCCCUUUGUUCUCGACUUAGAAAGCCAACGUCACGGGGUGCUCUUGCAUCGUUCUGCCGGCAAUAGACUCGGUGUAAGUAGAAAAUUUGAUGAGACAGACAACUUAGUGAAGCAUGCUGCAGUUUUCCACUAUAGACCUGGGGCUCCCAGAGCUAGUCGCAUUCUUGCAAGAAACAAGCGCUCCUGGUGAGCGACAACCUUCUCACGGGAAGAGCGAGGUGCGAGGUUGUGAACUCGACCACAACGCCAUUUCAUGCAUACUUGACUCAGAUGCGGGCAGCGGGAGCGAAGUGGCUAGACAUGCUCUAUGGACAGAGACUUCUAGUUCGUAUGUCUUAAAAUCCAAGGCAAAGCAAGUGCUCCGCCAAGGAACGAACAGAGAUACGCAGUCCUGCACAGGUUGCGACGGAGAAGAAAGCAGAUGUUCCUGCGAAAGACGAGAUCCCAGCUGAGAAUACUUCACCUGAAAUGCCGCCGAUACACGGACAUAUUCCAGGCCAGACAUCAGCAACGCCAAAUUCUUCAGCAUCAUAUACGGCGGCAGCAAUCGAGCCCGAUGUUCCUCCCGACAAAAACCAAAGACAAGAGUGUCCUGGGAGCUUGGAAUUUGCAAAUGCUUUUGAAGUGGAGAGUAAGCUGACGCUCGGAAGCGUGAUGUCAGAAACCGGAACGGAAUCAGGUCAAAUACUCGUAACGAAACAGGUUUGCGGCGAUGCCUAUUUCUCUGCUGCUAGUCCAAUCGCAACUCCUCCCAGGGAGUCAGAUACGGCACCGUAUUUGCGUAGCAUCUCCCUCCGCUCGAAAUCAAAUAGCAGUACAACCAGCUCCAGGUCCUUUUCAUUUCCAUUGUAAGCUUCAAUUCCCUCCCAACACAUCCUAUACAAUACCAAGAGGAUUAUCAAAUUGAGUCUUUCGCGCAUGAACAGAUUACCCUUCGAAUGGAACGGCAGCCCACUAAAGAUGGCAAAAGCCGACCGGACAAGAUCGCAGGAGCAGCGGAACAGGCCGUGGUGGACACUCUUCGCCUGCUGCAAACCAAAGUUCAUAGGCCGAUGCGAUCCGGACGAUGAGAUUGCUCACGAAAUCGCGAAAUAGUCACCGCACCACAAAUUGCAUUAUUAUUCUUCAUGU